rnacentral:tRNA from 1 species
GGCUGUAGCUCAGUGGUAGAGCAUUUGCCUAGCAUGCAUGAGGCCCCUGGUUCAAUCCCAAACACUG